rnacentral:piRNA from 1 species
CACAGAGCCGUGACAUGUUUGAG